GACGAACCGUGCGAACGUUGUUCGGAAUCACUGGGCUUAAAGGGCGCGUAGGCGGCCUGGCGCGUCCGGGGUGAAAGCCUCCAGCUCAACUGGAGAAGUGCCCCGGAUACGGCCAGGCUCGAGGGGGGUAGGGGCGUGCGGAACUUCCGGUGGAGCGGUGAAAUGCGUAGAUAUCGGAAGGAACGCCGGUGGCGAAAGCGGCGCGCUGGACCCCUUCUGACGCUGAGGAGCGAAAGCCAGGGGAGCGAACGGG
rnacentral:rRNA from 1 species